rnacentral:rRNA from 1 species
AUACGGAGGGUGCAAGCGUUAUCCGGAUUCAUUGGGUUUAAAGGGUUCGCAGGCGGCGUAUUAAGUCAGUGGUGAAAUCCCGAGGCUCAACCUCGGAACUGCCAUUGAUACUGGUAUGCUAGAGUAUAGUUGGCGUUGGCGGAAUGUAUCAUGUAGCGGUGAAAUGCUUAGAUAUGAUACAGAACACCGAUCGCGAAGGCAGCUAACGAAACUAUAACUGACGCUCAGGAACGAAAGCGUGGGGAGCGAACAGGAGUAGAAACCCGAGUAGUCC